rnacentral:tRNA from 1 species
UCCCUGGUGGCUCAGACAGUAAAGCAUCUGCCUACAAUGCAGGCAACCCAGGGUUCGAUCCCUGGGCUGGGAA